UGGCGGCGUGAUGGGAGUUGAGGAUCGAGGCUCUGAUACCAGUGUUUGAAGCACAGAGAAAAGAAAAGAUGAUAUCUUUGAGGGGGGCUCCGGUAACAGUGGUACUGUUAUUUCUUGGAGGUCUAUUAAGCAGACAAUGUUUACUAGUUGAAACCACUCAGAAAUUGUUCCUCUAUAUGUGCCCCAUGCGAACGUGUAAGGUUCAAAUCGCUGAUAAAACACAUUUGAUGAUCGUGUGGCAUAUUAAAUGAGGAUAUUACCCCCGUUGUCUUUUCUAUGGACAAUGUAAUUUGUGUUGCAUAAAUGAGAUGUGGAAAAUUUUUAUCCACUUGCGCUCGAAAAUAACAAUGAAAUUAACAUAGAUAAGUUCGCUCUAAGUAGUGACAAUCUAGACAAUUUGAUCACCAAAACCCUUAAUACAUCAACUUUUAAUUUUAUGGUAUCGUGCUUGGCCACCACGGUAUGCAUAGACUUGAAUGUUUGUUAUCUUGAGGGGGAACGAAUUAUUUUUCAGAAUAAUCCUGAAGAUCAAACCUGAAGGCGGUGGCUGUACUCUUUUUUCCUUAGCUAAGUUUUUGUCCCACUGGGUUUUCUUACCCAAAGGUUUUUAACGAGGCGGCUAAUGAAACACAAGUUUGGAUCCUGAAGAUCUAUAGUUGUACUCUUUUUUCCUUUGCUAAGUUUUUGUCCUACAUGAGUUUUCUUAGCGAAAGGUUUUUAACGAGACAACUGAUGUAACAAAAAUAAUGUAUGUAUGUCAUGUACUCUUUUUCUCGA